AUUUUUUCACACGUCAAUAAAAUUAGAGACUAGGGGUAAUAUAUUUUUUUAUAUGUUCCUGUACAAGAAAUAGUAUAAAUUAAAUAUCAAUUUAAAGCUGAUUAAAUUAUCAAUAAAAGGAUAGGUAAAUCAAAGCUGUAGGCCUUUCUUGUUAGUAAAUAUGGUUAUCUAAUGCCAGGUAUUAAAAAAAAAGUGUGAAUUUUUGUUUCCUGUUUGUCACUUGAGAGAUAUUUUUUAAACGGUCAUUACACAAAAGUUAUGGAAGAAACAACUAAACUGACAGAAAAAAGUAAGAUUUAAAAAAACAACUCUGGUAACUAUUUAUCAUUCUAACAUAAACAAUGGUCUUUUAAAUCUAUAUUGUAGAUUCUAUAGGUCUACAAAAUUGGAAUUUCAAAAAAUUUGUAACACAAUAACAGUAAUUUUUAGGCAAAUUGGUCAGAAAUUCAAAAUUAUUGGCUAAACAACACAAAAUAUAGGAUUGAAACAUAAAAAAUCAUAAUCUACAGACAUUUUUUUCCAGAAAAGACUUAUUAAGUAAUUCUGAACGCUUAUUUUCUAUCCUAAAUAUAUUUUUACACUUUUUGGAGCAUUUUCUGAAGAACCUAACGCAGAAUCAUGGUAUUUUUGUACGGGGAAAAGUUGCAUCUUAUUAGGAUCUUAAAGCAAUUCGUUUUCCAAAUCAUUAGAAUAGGGAAGUGGUAUCUAAUAAGAAUAAAAAUCAUGUUUGGAUCAAGGGUACGAUAAAUAUUGCAGUAUAUCCCUUUUUAGUCCUCAUUGGAAAACUGUUUGUACCUAAUUGGGUAUAAUGGGGGAGCGAAGCGAUGUUUUCCAUAUUUAUUAUGAUCAUUUUCAAGAAUUGUACUCAUUAUUUAGAUAAUCCAAGCAAAAAUAUCAUUUAGCGGAUUAGACAUUAAAUAUUAAUGACAGUAUUAAAGAGUACAUGCACCAUGUCCAAAGUGAUCGACAGUAUUAAGGAGUACAUGCACCAUGUCCAAAGUGACCAACAGUAUUUAAGGAAUACAUGCACCAUGUUAAAUUGACCGACAGUAUUAAGGAGUACAUGCACCAUGUCCAAAGUGAACAUAGAGAUUACAGUGAGAGGGUUGAAUACACAAAAUAUUCUUAAGAAUCUGUUACGUUAUUAAUUAUUAACUUUUCUGAAGCAAAAUUAAUUCCUUGCUCCUCAAUUCCAAUAGAAAAGACACAUUUAAUUUAUCAAGUUGAGCAGGAAACUUUUAAGAAAGGCUCAAAUUGUGUGGCAUCUGCUUUAUAUCAUGAAUUUCAGCGUAUAAAUUGUAGUCUGCGUCUUGAAAUUCAAUGUGAUAAUUGUGGAGAUUAGAAGAGAAAUUAUAUAAUUUUAGACAAUUAUGUAUGUCCCUUAAAAGGAAUAAAGAACUAUCACAUAUUCACCUUUAAAUCUACUUCUAGUAGAGUUGUACCCGUAAAAAAUGGUCGGAUAUAUUACAAACUCGGUUGUAGGAGAAGGAGUAAGGAAUCACUGAUCUGGAAUGAUAAGUCUAUUUUGAAAGGACUCAAUGACUUGUGGCAAGUUAAUGCUUGUGAUUGAGCUUUGUAAUGCCCCAUUUUUGAGGGAUAACAUAAAUAAUAUUUAUGGGAGAUUAUGUGUAUUUCUACAAAAGUUAAGUUGAAUACAACCCACUUUUCCCAUUACAUUAUGGAACGUUUAUGAAAAAACGAGAAGUGGAAAGAACAGAACAAACAAUAGCAUUGGGGGCUUUCAUAAUGCAUUACAACGCUCAAUCACAAACAUGCACUCAAAUUUAUGGAAAGUAAUAAAUUGUUUUUAGAAAAAAGAGUAAGACAUAAGUGAAAGAUUCCAAAGACAAGUGUUGAAUUGCAAUCCAAUCGAAAAAUUAAACUAUGUGAGAAGAAUUCCCUGGAAUCUCCAUACAUUUUAGAAUUUUACCAUCAGUUAUUUAUUAUGUAUUUUAUGUGUCUUCUUAUUUUAAUAAAUAAAACAAUGUA
rnacentral:lncRNA from 1 species